GCGGCCGCCUAGCCGCGUAAUCGGCCGCGUAAUCGCUAAACGUAGGUUAACCGUGGCGAAUUGGACCAAUACAGUUGCAUUAUACGUUAGACCGAUUUAUGUCCGCCUAGUCCGUAUUUUAACAUUACGCGGACGUAUAACUGAUAAAACGUUGGGCUGAAAAAUUAAUCAUAUAACAUUUGUACACAAUUUGGCCCAAUAAAAAACCCAUCAGUAAUAAAAAAAAUAAAACUAUUAUCUAUCUUCCCGACAGUAGAAUUGGGGAUUUCUAUCAACCCUAGUUUCAUUUGGUCACUCAAUCCAGUGAAUCCAAAGCAAAUCACCGAGAAUCAAGAUUGUCCACUGGUUGCAAAUUCUUGUUGUAGCGGAUUCAAGCUUAAAAAUGGAUAAUUCAGCAACAGAUACACCCUCGCCUCUGAAACGAAACUCAAAUGAUGUAGGUUGGGAGUAUGGUAUGUGUGAUCCACGAGUUCCAGACAAAGUAAGAUGUAAGUUAUGUGGCAAAGAGUUUUUUGGUGGCGUCUACAGAAUGAAAGAACACAUUGGUCAUUUAAAGGGUAAUGUCUCGGCCUGUCCUAUGUCAUCAAAGGAAGAUCAAGAGAAGUGUAAGAAUGCAAUAAUGGGAGCACAAGAGAAAAAAAUAAGAAGAGGAAGCAUGAGGAAGCCAUAAGGGCAGAAGUUAACAUAGACAAAAAUAGCAAUGUUGAGGAACUAGAAAAAGAGCUUGGAACUGUUAAAGCUCCUCACUUCCAAGGUCCUCUUGUUCAGUUUGCAACUGUCAUCAACCCUGAAGCUUCUUUGGCUUCUCAGACAUCAACAAAACAUCCAUGAUGCUUCUCAGACAGGUUUCCAAAUACCAAGUUCUAACUUCCAGCACAUCAACAAGACCACUACAAGAUCAAUAUUAUAUAUUUUGCUUAUCACUGAAGAAGAAAAGGAUUAGAAGAUAAAAUCCUUAAUACUUUUGUUUUUCUCAUGAUCAAAACUAUAUUUUUUGGUGACUCUUGUGAGUGGAUUACUCUUUCUUUUUGUA